rnacentral:rRNA from 1 species
GGUUAAGCGACUAAGCGUACACGGUGGAUGCCCUGGCAGUCAGAGGCGAUGAAGGACGUGCUAAUCUGCGAAAAGCGUCGGUAAGGUGAUAUGAACCGUUAUAACCGGCGAUGUCCGAAUGGGGAAACCCAGUGUGAUUCGUCACACUAUCGUUAACUGAAUACAUAGGUUAACGAGGCGAACCGGGGGAACUGAAACAUCUAAGUACCCCGAGGAAAAGAAAUCAACCGAGAUUCCCCCAGUAGCGGCGAGCGAACGGGGAGCAGCCCAGAGUCUGAAUCAGCUUGUGUGUUAGUGGAACGGUCUGGAAAGUCCGACGGUACAGGGUGAUAGUCCCGUACACCAAAAUGCACAGGCUGUGAACUCGAAGAGUAGGGCGGGACACGUGGUAUCCUGUCUGAAUAUGGGGGGACCAUCCUCCAAGGCUAAAUACUCCUGACUGACCGAUAGUGAACCAGUACCGUGAGGGAAAGGCGAAAAGAACCCCGGCGAGGGGAGUGAAAAAGAACCUGAAACCGUGUACGUACAAGCAGUGGGAGCACCUUCGGGUGUGACUGCGUACCUUUUGUAUAAUGGGUCAGCGACUUAUAUUCUGUAGCAAGGUUAACCGUAUAGGGGAGCCGCAGGGAAACCGAGUCUUAACUGGGCGUUAAGUUGCAGGGUAUAGACCCGAAACCCGGUGAUCUAGCCAUGGGCAGGUUGAAGGUUGGGUAACACUAACUGGAGGACCGAACCGACUAAUGUUGAAAAAUUAGCGGAUGACUUGUGGCUGGGGGUGAAAGGCCAAUCAAACCGGGAGAUAGCUGGUUCUCCCCGAAAGCUAUUUAGGUAGCGCCUCGUGAAUUCAUCUUCGGGGGUAGAGCACUGUUUCGGCUAGGGGGUCAUCCCGACUUACCAACCCGAUGCAAACUACGAAUACCGAAGAAUGUUAUCACGGGAGACACACGGCGGGUGCUAACGUCCGUCGUGAAGAGGGAAACAACCCAGACCGCCAGCUAAGGUCCCAAAGUCAUGGUUAAGUGGGAAACGAUGUGGGAAGGCACAGACAGCCAGGAUGUUGGCUUAGAAGCAGCCAUCAUUUAAAGAAAGCGUAAUAGCUCACUGGUCGAGUCGGCCUGCGCGGAAGAUGUAACGGGGCUAAACCAUGCACCGAAGCUGCGGCAGCGACACUAUGUGUUGUUGGGUAGGGGAGCGUUCUGUAAGCCUGCGAAGGUGACCUGUGAGGGUUGCUGGAGGUAUCAGAAGUGCGAAUGCUGACAUAAGUAACGAUAAAGCGGGUGAAAAGCCCGCUCGCCGGAAGACCAAGGGUUCCUGUCCAACGUUAAUCGGGGCAGGGUGAGUCGACCCCUAAGGCGAGGCCGAAAGGCGUAGUCGAUGGGAAACAGGUUAAUAUUCCUGUACUUGGUGUUACUGCGAAGGGGGGACGGAGAAGGCUAUGUUAGCCGGGCGACGGUUGUCCCGGUUUAAGCAUGUAGGCUGAUUGUCCAGGCAAAUCCGGAUAAUCAAGGCUGAGGUGUGAUGACGAGGCACUACGGUGCUGAAGUAACAAAUGCCCUGCUUCCAGGAAAAGCCUCUAAGCAUCAGGUAACAUCAAAUCGUACCCCAAACCGACACAGGUGGUCAGGUAGAGAAUACCAAGGCGCUUGAGAGAACUCGGGUGAAGGAACUAGGCAAAAUGGUGCCGUAACUUCGGGAGAAGGCACGCUGGUGUGUAGGUGAAGUCCCUGCGGAUGGAGCUGAGACCAGUCGAAGAUACCAGCUGGCUGCAACUGUUUAUUAAAAACACAGCACUGUGCAAACACGAAAGUGGACGUAUACGGUGUGACGCCUGCCCGGUGCCGGAAGGUUAAUUGAUGGGGUUAUCCGUAAGGAGAAGCUCUUGAUCGAAGCCCCGGUAAACGGCGGCCGUAACUAUAACGGUCCUAAGGUAGCGAAAUUCCUUGUCGGGUAAGUUCCGACCUGCACGAAUGGCGUAAUGAUGGCCAGGCUGUCUCCACCCGAGACUCAGUGAAAUUGAACUCGCUGUGAAGAUGCAGUGUACCCGCGGCAAGACGGAAAGACCCCGUGAACCUUUACUAUAGCUUGACACUGAACAUUGAGCCUUGAUGUGUAGGAUAGGUGGGAGGCUUUGAAGCGUGGACGCCAGUCUGCGUGGAGCCAACCUUGAAAUACCACCCUUUAAUGUUUGAUGUUCUAACGUUGGCCCCUUAUCGGGGUUGCGGACAGUGUCUGGUGGGUAGUUUGACUGGGGCGGUCUCCUCCCAAAGCGUAACGGAGGAGCACGAAGGUUAGCUAAUCCUGGUCGGACAUCAGGAGGUUAGUGCAAUGGCAUAAGCUAGCUUGACUGCGAGCGUGACGGCGCGAGCAGGUGCGAAAGCAGGUCAUAGUGAUCCGGUGGUUCUGAAUGGAAGGGCCAUCGCUCAACGGAUAAAAGGUACUCCGGGGAUAACAGGCUGAUACCGCCCAAGAGUUCAUAUCGACGGCGGUGUUUGGCACCUCGAUGUCGGCUCAUCACAUCCUGGGGCUGAAGUAGGUCCCAAGGGUAUGGCUGUUCGCCAUUUAAAGUGGUACGCGAGCUGGGUUUAGAACGUCGUGAGACAGUUCGGUCCCUAUCUGCCGUGGGCGCUGGAGAAUUGAGGGGGGCUGCUCCUAGUACGAGAGGACCGGAGUGGACGCAUCACUGGUGUUCGGGUUGUCAUGCCAAUGGCACUGCCCGGUAGCUAAAUGCGGAAGAGAUAAGUGCUGAAAGCAUCUAAGCACGAAACUUGCCCCGAGAUGAGUUCUCCCUGAGACUUUAAGUCUCCUGAAGGAACGUUGAAGACGACGACGUUGAUAGGCCGGGUGUGUAAGCGCAGCGAUGCGUUGAGCUAACCGGUACUAAUGAACCGUGAGGCUUAACCUU